AUGUAUCCGAACAGAUACACUGUUGUACUACAGUAUGUAGUUUAUUCAUCCAGGUCUCUAUCUCAUGAAGGAGCUUUGAAUGAAACGGUGGAGGGCCCCACAUUCUGGAGCCUCACCCCUCUUAUGGUCUGAAUGGGGUCCAAGAGGUGGGGAGGAUAGAGGGAACACUGACAGUGGACGAGGACUUCAGUGAAGCUCCCUCGCCCAAGUUGCCUUUAUCAAACUCAACAUUUAACAACACAACAACGUCUGAAGAGAGGGUCUCUGAGGUACCAGGGGCAAUAGUAGAAAGUGUUCUCCUCAGUGGGGAAGACUCCUUGAAGAAAAAGAAGAGUCGAGAACGGAAGGGCAAGGGACAGAAAGGACGACAUAAGAGGCAAAGACAACGCCUGACGAGUACAGAGGAGGAAGAGGAAGCGGAGGAGGAGGAAUUAUACGAUGGGGAUGAGUACAGUUAUGAAUAUGAGGAUUCCACAGAUGAUCCCUUACUGUCAAUGGAAAAGCAAGGGGRGUUUGAAAUCACAACAGAAAGCACACUACAUGGAAUGAGCAAAGAGAGUGGCAUGACAACUUUAGGUCCAUAUCCUCCCCAGUCACCGGGAGACAGUGAAAAGGUAUGAAACUGGAGCUCUUUCCUGAGAUACUUUGUAAAGUGCGAACUGUGUCAAGCAGAGCCAGACCCAUGACAGCUCUGAGUUGAGUGGUAGAAGGCUAUGUGACUGUGUGUGUGUGUUUGCUGUAUUAUAUAUUGUUCUUGAAACAUACUACACUUGUUCCGAAGCAGGGGGAAUUAUCACACCACCUUCCCAGCACAACGGAAGAAACAGAGAAGGUAAGCUGUGACUGACUGCAUGAUUCUACCGACGCUUUACUAACUAUGAUCCUGAGGGAUAUGAGGUGUAAAUGGACACAACUAGCCUUCUUUCUCUUUACUAACCAUGAUCCUGAGGGAUAUGAGGUU
rnacentral:lncRNA from 1 species